UACGUACGGUGCAAGCGUUAUCCGGAUUUACUGGGUGUAAGGGGAGCGCAGGCGGCACGGCAAGCCUGAUGUGGAAGCCCGCGGCCCAACCGCGGGACUGCAUUGGGAACUACCGGGCUGGAGUGCCGGAGAGGUAGGCGGAAUUCCUAGUGUAGCGGUGAAAUGCGUAGAUAUUAGGAGGAACACCAGUGGCGAAGGCGGCCUACUGGACGGUGACUGACGCUGAGGCUCGAAAGCGUGGGGAGCAAACAGG
rnacentral:rRNA from 1 species